ACACUGGAAUGCUAGUACGGCGAGUGAAGCGGCACAGCUCAAUUUGAAAGCUAGCCUUCGGGUUCGCAUUGUAAUUUGUAGAGGAUGAUUUGGGGAAGCCGCCUGUCUAAGUUCCUUGGAACAGGACGUCAUAGAGGGUGAGAAUCCCGUAUGUGACAGGAAAUGGCACCCUAUGUAAAUCUCCUUCGACGAGUCGAGUUGUUUGGGAAUGCAGCUCUAAAUGGGAGGUAAAUUUCUUCUAAAGCUAAAUAUUGGCGAGAGACCGAUAGCGCACAAGUAGAGUGAUCGAAAGAUGAAAAGCACUUUGGAAAGAGAGUUAAAAAGCACGUGAAAUUGUUGAAAGGGAAGCGCUUGCAAUCAGACUUGUUUAAACUGUUCGGCCGGUCUUCUGACCGGUUUACUCAGUUUGGACAGGCCAGCAUCAGUUUCGGCGGCCGGAUAAAGGCUCUGGGAAUGUGGCCUCCACUUCGGUGGAGGUGUUAUAGCCCAGGGUGUAAUACGGCCAGCCGGGACUGAGGUCCGCGCUUCGGCUAGGAUGCUGGCGUAAUGGUUGUAAGCGACCCGUCUUAAAAAAAGGGAACAAAAAAACCCCCCCGGGCCCCCCGGCCCAACCGCGGGGGGAAAAGGAAAAACCGAAGG
rnacentral:rRNA from 1 species